GAAUGCUGACAUAAGUAACGAUAAAGCGGGUGAAAAGCCCGCUCGCCGGAAGACCAAGGGUUCCUGUCCAACGUUAAUCGGGGCAGGGUGAGUCGACCCCUAAGGCGAGGCCGAAAGGCGUAGUCGAUGGGAAACGGGUUAAUAUUCCCGUACUUGGUGUUACUGCGAAGGGGGGACGGAGAAGGCUAUGUUGGCCGGGCGACGGUUGUCCCGGUUUAAGCGUGUAGGUGUGUGUUCCAGGUAAAUCCGGUUCACUUUAACACUGAGGCGUGACGACGAGGCACUACGGUGCUGAAGCAACAAAUGCCCUGCUUCCAGGAAAAGCCUCUAAGCAUCAGGUAACAUCAAAUCGUACCCCAAACCGACACAGGUGGUCAGGUAGAGAAUACCAAGGCGCUUGAGAGAACUCGGGUGAAGGAACUAGGCAAAAUGGUGCCGUAACUUCGGGAGAAGGCACGCUGACACGUAGGUGAAGUGAUUUACUCAUGGAGCUGAAGUCAGUCGAAGAUACCAGCUGGCUGCAACUGUUUAUUAAAAACACAGCACUGUGCAAACACGAAAGUGGACGUAUACGGUGUGACGCCUGCCCGGUGCCGGAAGGUUAAUUGAUGGGGUCAGCGCAAGCGAAGCUCCUGAUCGAAGCCCCGGUAAACGGCGGCCGUAACUAUAACGGUCCUAAGGUAGCGAAAUUCCUUGUCGGGUAAGUUCCGACCUGCACGAAUGGCGUAAUGAUGGCCAGGCUGUCUCCACCCGAGACUCAGUGAAAUUGAACUCGCUGUGAAGAUGCAGUGUACCCGCGGCAAGACGGAAAGACCCCGUGAACCUUUACUAUAGCUUGACACUGAACAUUGAGCCUUGAUGUGUAGGAUAGGUGGGAGGCUUUGAAGUGUGGACGCCAGUCUGCAUGGAGCCGACCUUGAAAUACCACCCUUUAAUGUUUGAUGUUCUAACGUGGACCCGUUACCCGGGUUGCGGACAGUGUCUGGUGGGUAGUUUGACUGGGGCGGUCUCCUCCUAAAGAGUAACGGAGGAGCACGAAGGUUGGCUAAUCCUGGUCGGACAUCAGGAGGUUAGUGCAAUGGCAUAAGCCAGCUUGACUGCGAGCGUGACGGCGCGAGCAGGUGCGAAAGCAGGUCAUAGUGAUCCGGUGGUUCUGAAUGGAAGGGCCAUCGCUCAACGGAUAAAAGGUACUCCGGGGAUAACAGGCUGAUACCGCCCAAGAGUUCAUAUCGACGGCGGUGUUUGGCACCUCGAUGUCGGCUCAUCACAUCCUGGGGCUGAAGUAGGUCCCAAGGGUAUGGCUGUUCGCCAUUUAAAGUGGUACGCGAGCUGGGUUUAGAACGUCGUGAGACAGUUCGGUCCCUAUCUGCCGUGGGCGCUGGAGAACUGAGGGGGGCUGCUCCUAGUACGAGAGGACCGGAGUGGACGCAUCACUGGUGUUCGGGUUGUCAUGCCAAUGGCACUGCCCGGUAGCUAAAUGCGGAAGAGAUAAGUGCUGAAAGCAUCUAAGCACGAAACUUGCCCCGAGAUGAGUUCUCCCUGAGAC
rnacentral:rRNA from 2 species